AGCUUUGGACAGUGGCUAUAUCAUAGCCAAUGAGGUUAAUCCCAGGCAUGAUUAUUGCUAAUUAAAAACUUUUACCUAACUUUCUUCAGUUCUUAGGACCUCUGUUUUAAAGUCUUUGUCUAGUAGAUCCACUAU